ensembl:lncRNA
GAGCUGCUGUGUGAGGUGUGUAUAUAUAGGGCCCCAGUCACCGCACAGCGCCGCUGGGCAGGAGCGUGUCCGGGCGUGUAGGGGCUUGUGUUGGCCAGCUGUCAUUCAGCCUCACAAGGUGUGGGUCCACAUGCCUGCUCCUCAGUGGUGUUCGGGGGCGGACCGCCCGCCAGGAUGGGCUCUUGGGUCAGGACCUCUAGUGCGGCGCCUCGCUCUUCUCUCUGAUGUUUUCCUCCAUUGCUUUGGUUUUUCUAGAUUUUCACAUGAGUUUUGCACAUUGGAACCGGAUAUCGUUUGUUCUCUUCACAGAGAGAGAGACAGAGAGAGAGAGAGAGAGGCCUCAACACAUGGACAAGACACACUGUCUUCCAGAGUGAUAUUUCAACGAUAAAGUCCUCAGGUGCCACAACCACCUCUAUGACUCAUCACGUCCAUCGUCAAGGCAACCUGGACGUGGCCAGCUGGCUCAAAGAGGAGACGCGUGGUCUUAUGACAUAUGGCUGCGAUGCGUUUAGCAGAAAUAAGCCUUCCCAGACCGUUUCCGAUAAGCGGAAUGAUUCCGGGAAUCGGCUAAUCGCCCUAUAAGCGGGUAGAAUACAAUACAGUCAACAACCAUGAUGAGUAUCCCAUUGGAGGCCUUUUCAUUUUCGCUAACUGCCGCCAUUUUAGGUGUUCCUCAGGCUUGUUAAUGGCCCG